rnacentral:lncRNA from 1 species
GUUGAAGGCCGUACAUUGACCUAUUUAUAAUGGUUUACCUUUAUAAAAUGUUAUUUAGAUGGAGAUGUGUCUCAUUGGCACUCACACCACAGCUUCCUAUAUCUAUAAAUAAAAUACAGGGAACAAACUUUUAACAAGAGAAAAGUUCAUUCUGAAAGUAUAAAAUAAAAUUGAGAAUGGAAAUUGGGAAUGUGUCAAAAAGAC